AAUGAAAAGUGAAACUAUGUUGGAUGUGUGUAGAUUAUUGCAGAAAGAAAAGAUUAUCAUAAGCAGACCAACGGACAAUACUUGAAAAACCUCAACACAAAAGUUUACGCAGAUGAUUCAGAAACCCCUGGAAUUCGAAAAAAACGACUCGCUUUGUUGGACAUUUUAAUACAAGCAUCUCAAGAUGGUACUUUAAGUGAUUCAGAUAUCAGAGAGGAAGUCGAUACUUUUAUGUUUGAGGGUCAUGAUACUACAGCGAUGGGUAUAUUCUAUAUUUUAUCAUUAUUGGCUGAACAUAAAGAUAUCCAGGAUUGUGUCAGAAAAGAAGUCAAUGCUAUUAUGCAAGAGAGUGAAGGGAAA
rnacentral:lncRNA from 13 species